AUUGAACGCUGGCGGCAUGCUUUACACAUGCAAGUCGAACGGCAGCGGAGAGGAGCUUGCUUCUCUGCCGGCGCGUGGCGAACGGGUGAGUAAUACAUAGGAACGUGUCGAGUUGCGGGGGAUAACCACCAGAAAGGGUGGCUCAUAUCGCAUAAAUUCUGAGGAAGUAAGCUGAGGACAUAGGAAUAGGCCUAGCGCUUUUUGAGCGGCCGAUGUCGGAUUAGCUAGUUGGUGGGGUAAAGGCUCACCAAGGCGAAGAUCUGUAGCGGGUCUGAGAGGAUGAUCCGCCACACUGGGACUGAGACACGGCCCAGACUCCUACGGGAGGCAGCAGUGGGGAAUUUUGGACAAUGGGGGCAACCCUGAUCCAGCCAUGCCGCGUGUAUGAAGAAGGCCUUAGGGUUGUAAAGUACUUUUGUUAGGGAAGAAAAGUCAGCGGUUAAUAAUGGCUUGUACUGACGGUACCUAAAGAAUAAGCACCGGCUAACUACGUG
rnacentral:rRNA from 1 species